CACAAACACUGGACACGCUGAAGGCGCUCUUCGGACGGUAACUUACUCAGGCCUCCGUUCUCUAAGAGCGUGGGUGCCGGCUUGGGAGCACGCAAGGCCUUCUCACGUCGUGCUUCCAGCUCCUCACCACUAGCACAAACAGUAUCUCAAGACUGGCUUCAUAAGAAUGAUGUUGGGAGAUGAAUGGAAUUGAAAAGGCAGGACAGAGGAGAGCACUCUGGACUCCGUGGCAGGAACAGGACGGCUCUCCUGGCGGGCAGUCAUCGCCUGCAGAAGGAUGGUGUCAGCACGGCUGCCUGUCGGAGAACGAGAACUGCUGGGACCAGCAUGUCUGGCUACAGCGCCUGUGACCCCAUUACCAGCAGGGCUCCUGGGCUGACACUGCUGGCCAGGUGGGAUCCCCUUCCUCCCCCACUGCCCCUGGGCAUCCCCCUCCAAGCUGCACAGCGGGUGGGGGACAGUCUCAGACAGAGAAAGGCCACUCUCCCAUCAAGGGCACACCAAGACAUGCUAGAAUCUGCAAAUAAACUCUCAGGACUAACGUGUUUGUGGUGGGUGUGGCAGCGCACCCCUGUGAUCCCAGCUCUUAGAAGGCCGAGGCAGGAGGAAUCAGGAGUUCGAGGCCAGUCUGUAUGACGUAUAUUGGGAGACUCUCAAAAACAAACAAAAAAAGCAAGAAAGAUUCUGAAUGUGAAAGUAGAACCCACCCACGAUCUCGUCAUACAGCUGUUACACUGCAGCCCCAGUGUGAUACUGGGGCCUUUUUACCGGUGCACGAGUUUACACCACGUAUCCCGGUCACUUGGAAAGUACUGGUCUCCGUAAGGGAUAUGAAUUUGCCAAAUGUUGACACAUUUCAUUAUACAAUAAAAAA